rnacentral:rRNA from 1 species
AUUGAACGCUGGCGGCAGGCCUAACACAUGCAAGUCGAACGAGUGGCGGACGGGUGAGUAAUGGCUGGGAAACUGCCUGAUGGAGGGGGAUAACUACUGGAAACGGUAGCUAAUACCGCAUACCAUCAGAUGUGCCCAGAUGGGAUUAGCUAGUAGGUGGGGUAAAGGCUCACCUAGGCGACGAUCCCUAGCUGGUCUGAGAGGAUGACCAGCCACACUGUAACUUAGACACGGUCCAGACUCCUACGGGAGGCAGCAGUGGGGAAGAUGGCACAAUGGGCGCAAGCCUGAUGCAGCCAUGCCGCGUGUGUUAAGAAGGCCUUCGGGUUGUAAAGCACUUUCAGCGUGGAGGCGUUACCCGCAGAAGAAGCACCGGCUAACUCCGUGCCAGCAGCCGCGGUAAUUC